rnacentral:rRNA from 1 species
UAUGGAGAGUUUGAUCCUGGCUCAGGAUGAACGCUGGCGGCGUGCCUAAUACAUGCAAGUCGAGCGAACGGACGAGAAGCUUGCUUCUCUGAUGUUAGCGGCGGACGGGUGAGUAACACGUGGAUAACCUACCUAUAAGACUGGGAUAACUUCGGGAAACCGGAGCUAAUACCGGAUAAUAUUUUGAACCGCAUGGUUCAAAAGUGAAAGACGGUCUUGCUGUCACUUAUAGAUGGAUCCGCGCUGCAUUAGCUAGUUGGUAAGGUAACGGCUUACCAAGGCAACGAUGCAUAGCCGACCUGAGAGGGUGAUCGGCCACACUGGAACUGAGACACGGUCCAGACUCCUACGGGAGGCAGCAGUAGGGAAUCUUCCGCAAUGGGCGAAAGCCUGACGGAGCAACGCCGCGUGAGUGAUGAAGGUCUUCGGAUCGUAAAACUCUGUUAUUAGGGAAGAACAUAUGUGUAAGUAACUGUGCACAUCUUGACGGUACCUAAUCAGAAAGCCACGGCUAACUACGUGCCAGCAGCCGCGGUAAUACGUAGGUGGCAAGCGUUAUCCGGAAUUAUUGGGCGUAAAGCGCGCGUAGGCGGUUUUUUAAGUCUGAUGUGAAAGCCCACGGCUCAACCGUGGAGGGUCAUUGGAAACUGGAAAACUUGAGUGCAGAAGAGGAAAGUGGAAUUCCAUGUGUAGCGGUGAAAUGCGCAGAGAUAUGGAGGAACACCAGUGGCGAAGGCGACUUUCUGGUCUGUAACUGACGCUGAUGUGCGAAAGCGUGGGGAUCAAACAGGAUUAGAUACCCUGGUAGUCCACGCCGUAAACGAUGAGUGCUAAGUGUUAGGGGGUUUCCGCCCCUUAGUGCUGCAGCUAACGCAUUAAGCACUCCGCCUGGGGAGUACGACCGCAAGGUUGAAACUCAAAGGAAUUGACGGGGACCCGCACAAGCGGUGGAGCAUGUGGUUUAAUUCGAAGCAACGCGAAGAACCUUACCAAAUCUUGACAUCCUUUGACAACUCUAGAGAUA